GGGGAUUUAGCUUAGUGGUAGAGCGCUUGCCUAGGAAGCGCAAGGCCCUGGGUUCGGUCCCCAGCUCCG
rfam:Rattus norvegicus chromosome 19, whole genome shotgun sequence.